rnacentral:misc_RNA from 1 species
ACACCUCACUACUAUAACUUUAUUGUUAUGAUAGUGGAUUUGGAAUGCGCUGGUGUUAGUCAGCCCUUCUAAAAUGGAGUUCUUGCACUGUUGAUUUGUUUUAACAGCAACGUUGGCCUAAUAAGUUUCAGCAGCAAUGUUGAAAUCACUGGCUUUUUUGCUUAGAAUCUGACAGUCUUGAUAUACAGAAUUUUUGAGGUGACUUGUCUCCUCUUCAAA